UACAGAGGUGGCGAGCGUUGUUCGGAAUUACUGGGCGUAAAGGGCGCGUAGGCGGUCUUGUAAGUCUUGUGUGAAAUCCCUCGGCUUAACUGAGGAACUGCACGAGAUACUGCGAGACUUGAGUUCGGGAGAGGGAAGCGGAAUUCCGGGUGUAGCGGUGAAAUGCGUAGAUAUCCGGAGGAACACCGGUGGCGAAGGCGGCUUCCUGGACCGACACUGACGCUGAGGCGCGAAAGCCAGGGGAGCAAACGGG
rnacentral:rRNA from 1 species